AUACUAUUCAACCAACCACCCUCUCAACCUUAGGGGGCCCACAUCAUCCUAACCACACAUUUCUUAAUCCAAGUGCUAAAAAACUACUAGCACCAAUAGCUUUGUGCUAUUAAUAGUAUUCUAGCAUAUAUAUAUAUAUAUAUAUAUAUAUAUAUAUGCACACACACAGGGAGAAAGAUAGCAUGCUACCUAUUUUUUUAUUUCUUUUUAGAAAUAAACUUAACUGAAAAUGUGAGUCUAACUAGGAUUCGAAUUUGGGACUCGGGUAUUAACUACCAAGCUCUUUGCUAUUUGCCCUAGGGAUGGUCGGUACUCAUAAAAAUAUUUUGAAAAAAACUUCAAAUAUCACCCCUGUUGUUUCGCACUUUUUUAUUUUAAUAUCCUGUCAUUUAAAGUAUAUCAAUUUAGUACUCCGUGGUUUCUUUUUUUUUUUAUUAUUCCCUCCACUAAUUUUUUUCGUUAAAUCAGUGACAAAAUUAAAACUAAAAAGUACUAAAGUGAAUAUUCGAUAAAUCUAAGUAAAAGCAUUUGAAUUUUUUUAUAUAUAAUUUAAUAAAAUAUUAAUAGAAGAGUCGACAAAGAGAGAAAAAUAAAAUCACAUGAUACUAAAUUGAUACGUUUUAAAUCACAAAAUAUUCAAGUGGGAAAUUAGGGAAUUACAGGGGUGGUAUUGAAAGUGUA
rnacentral:lncRNA from 1 species